rnacentral:rRNA from 1 species
CUCGAGGCCAGAUCUUUCCGGUUGAUCCCGCCGGAAGCGGCUGCUAUCGGGAUCCGACUAAGCCAUGCGAGUCGAGAGGGUUCGGCCCUCGGCACACGGCUCAGUAACACGCGGAGAACCUGCCCUGAGGUGGGGGAUAACCUCGGGAAACUGAGGAUAAUACCCCAUAGGCCAGAGGUCGCUGGAACCGCGCCCUGGCCGAAAGCUCCGGCGCCUCAGGAUGGCUCUGCGGCCUAUCAGGUCGUAGUGGGGGUAACGGCCCCACUAGCCUACGACGGGUACGGGCAGUGAGAGCUGUAGCCCGGAGAUGGAGUCUGAGACACGACUCCAGGCCCUACGGGGCGCAGCAGGCGCGAAAACUGCGCAAUGCGCUCACGCGCGACGCGGGGAUCCCGAGUGCCGGCGCACAGCGUUGGCUUUUCGUGUGCCUAAACCGCACACGGAAUAAGGGGUGGGUAAGACGGGUGCCAGCCGCCGCGGUAAUACCCGCACCCCGAGUGGACGCCGCUUUUAUUGGGCCUAAAGGGUCCGUAGCCGGUCCUCUAAAUGCCCGGGUAAA